UUACCGUGUUAUGCGUAGUUUGUUAAUAUUAUACGUGACGCGUUGACGGUCUCUGCCGUACGUCUGUAUAUUCUGGAUCCGCCAUGUCAUUCAUUCGUUUGAACAGGCAGAAAACUCGAGCAGAACCGGACUCAGGUGAGUCAGUCAUCUGCCGCGACUGCAACAGGUUUAGAGAGAGAUGUGAAGACUGGUGAAUGUAUUUGAAGCAGCUGGACAGCAUACAUGUCCACCGCAGCAAAACAUCCAGAUGAACCUACAAAAAAGACACAUCGGCACUGCAAAUGAAGUAAAAAAAAACAUGCUGCAAGAAGCCAAAACAACUGCAUGCACAGCAAAAAUACUGCAAAUACACCAAUGAUACAAAGCAAAAAUCUGUUGUAAUUCAUGCAACUGAUUGAAGACUUGAAAACGAGGCACAGGAGACUUUAAGUGAAGAGAAUUUAGAUGCUGCUUGAAAGAGAACACAAAAAAGUUGUUAAUCAGUGUGAACUUAAAAGAAUAUUCCGGCGGGAAAUUAAUUUAGGGUCAAACAAACCCUAACAACAGGACAUAUAGGGUCACAGCUGGGUCACCCCGCUGUAGUCUGUAAAGGACUGGCCUGAAGUCUUGCUACAAACAAGCUGCUGUUGGAAGAGAGACGUUGAGCUGUGUUUAGUCUCUUUGCUAAAAAAAAUCAGGCAGUUAAAAAGAUGUUUGGUGGCUGGUACUAUGACUGGGACCGUAUAUGUCCUGUUGAUGAAGUUAGGUGCUGUUCUGAGCAUUAUUUGUGGCUAUAGAGUGGCAUUUUGAUUGCACGUGUGGCUCUCUGUGGUCGUUACUAAAGUUGGUAUAACUACAGAAGCAAACAUUCAUCUCUCGACGGGGUGUCUAACUCAGUGUUACAGUGUGUUUGACCCUAAAUUAAUUUUACACCGGAAUAUCCCUUUAAACACUGCUGAGGGUUUCCCUUCACUCCCUAAAACUUAAACACAUCCUAAAAUAAAAUAACCUUUUAUCCAAAACUCACUCAGGUGAAGUUUGACGGCCAAAGAAAGCUCUUAGUGUUUCAGCCGGACUUUUAAAUUAAAUUUUAAACUCUUUAAAAUGCUGGUUUUUUUUUUCCUCCAUAAGAGGAAGGUGAGGAGGAAGUGUUCCUCUUUGCUGAGUCCUCUCCUUUCAUAACUGGGACACCUCGCAGCGAUUUAUUGUGCUUGUUACAGGAAGAGAAAUGUUGGCAGUGGUCAGGUCGGUUCCACCGCUGAGAGUUCAGGUAGCGUAGCAUGGAACAGAGAUAUUGUUGCCAUGGUUACCUGAAUGUUAAUACCACCUUUUUGGUCCUCCUGAUAAAGAGCAGCAGUUUAAAGAGAUGAAUCAAACUUUGAUAUAGUGUUUUAAUUCUUUUGUGCGGUCUUAUAAACAGCCUUCAGUUACGUACAAACGUCUCUUUUCAUAUUUUAAGACAUAAAUCAUUUAGAAACCACUUUCAGGGAUAAAAAACGCAAAUAAAGUAAAAUAAUUACGUGUUUUGUGCAGAGGAGAAAUCCAUUAGAGCGGCAGAAUAUCGAUCUUAAUGCAAUAAUCUAAACUCUCUCUUUCUGCGUUCCUCUUUUCACCUUUUCAAAUAAAUCCAGAGUGCUAAAAUAUCAGCCGAGCGCUCGGCAGAUCAGCAUAUUAAAGAUAAUUACACAACCAGUUUGUCAUUCAGUUCAGUGAAGAGCGUCUCUUCAUUUGUUUGGGAAUAAUGCGCCACUCAAACACGCUGCUCUGCGCAGGGUUACUCUAGUAACCUUUUCUAUGAAUAGUAAAUGUCACCGUAAUCAAUUUUAGAUGGGGCGGCUCUGCAGGUGGAGCCUGGAGCAGGUUGGGAGGAGGAGAAGGAGGAGGAGAAGGAGGAGGAGGAGAGCUGCUGCUGCUGGAGUAGAUGUUUUUCUAGAAGCUUUGUGAGGCAGACGGACCCGAGACUGAAAAUGAGAGAGGAGAGAGUGUGGACAUGUUAGAGACAAAGAAAGUGUCCUCAUGGUCUCUCCAAGAUGAUGUCCAAUCUUGUCUCAGUGGUGGAAAAGCCUUAAUCUGUUAUUGGGCGUCCCUUUCAGCGAUCUUACGAGUGUUAGUUUCAUCUCAGGUGAAAAGUGCAGCUAAACCAAGAGGGAGACGUCUGCAGCUGAUGCACAAGUGCUGAAAAAGUGUAGAUACAGAGCAGAUACUAGAUUAAAGCUCCUGUGAGGAGUUAUUCUAACAUUUAUGAGAUUUUUUAAUAAUAUCUGAAAGAGAACAAGACUGAACAUUUUUCUACUAGGUUGUGUUUUUGCAUUUUCCUGCUUAAUUUUAAUUAAUUUUAGGUGGAGACUAUUCUAAAGAACAUGGAUCACCCACUUCACAACACCUUAAUGCAGUGGUUCUCAAGCCCUGUCCUCGAGGCCCACUGUUUCCCUGCUCCAACACACCUGAUUCAAAUGAUGAGCUCAUUUGAAUCAGGUGUGUUGGAGCAGGGAAACAGUGGGCCUCGAGGACUGGACUUGAGAACCAAAGAGCCAAUGCUGGUGGACGGCUCCUCUCUCAGAAGAUCUUUUGUGCCAACAGCCAUCAGACUUUAUAACUUUUGUGUAAAUAGUAGAUAAACUUUUAGAGACAUGACAAAUGAGACGACAGACAAUUGAAUUUCCCUUAGAGGAUUAAUAAAGUUCUUCUUAAAAUACAAUCAGUGAUACUUGUGAGUGUCAAGAGGACACAACUUUGGCACAUAGAUGACAAGAUAAGUAAAGACUUCUUUGUCCACAGGGGGCGCCAAAACUGCCUCAACACUUUAAAGCAGCAGCUGAGAACAAGCGGCAGAAAACCCAGGCUAUGACAAGUUGAUAUUAUUUAGUUUGCUGGUCCCAAAGCUGACUGAGAAUGAGUAAAAUGAAAUCUAGAUCUUCCUCCUGAGUUUCCCCUGUUAGCUCAGGGGAGGAUUUUGGCACAUGCUAGUUGUCAGGAGUAAAAUUUCUGCUCAUGACUUGUUUUCUCACCUUACCUCCCUCCUGUGUUUUCAGUCUGAUAGAAAAGAAACACCUCAACCAGAACUCCAAACCUUAAAGCGAACAGGAGAGAGAGCGGCUCACCGAGCAGGCUGUGUCGUUUUCUCUAUCGGGAGCUGCAGCGAGCCCUCGAAAUAAAAUCAACUCCUGCAGACUGAACAUCACUCAACGCUGCUGUCUGAGGACGCCCCAGUUCUAGGACCAUAUGUCAGGUCUGCACUCGGUCGGAUCAGGUAUGUUUGAGUUACAAAUUCGAUCUAAAGGAAGGAAAGCAGAUGAACGUACUUCAGGAGGAGAUUUACACUCAAAAGAUCGUUUACUUAUUACAGGUCCGUCCAUCAAUGAGCUUUACUGUUUGUCCAGGUCAAGGUUAUGGAGGACUCGAGGCGGAGUGCACCCUGGACAGACUGCCAAUGUAUCAUCAGGCUGCAACCAGAAACACUCCCAGGUUAGUUGGAGCUAUAAAACUUCCAGUAAUACCAGGAUUUCAUAGUCCUGGUCGUUUCCGUUGGUCGCCACAUGUCAAAAAUUGGAGGAGAAACGAAGAAGAAGUAGCGUCUGCCAGCAAACUAGCUGUGUCAGUUCUCUCACGGAUGUUUCAGCACUUUGAAAACUGACAUCCAGAUUUAUUUUUAACCCAAAAACAACAUUAGAGUGAAAAUCUGAUAUCGUUGCAGCCCAAUCGUUGGUCCUUGUAUCGUUGUUUCAUAACACCUCUUCAGAUUUCACCUGUAAAUCCUUCAGGGAAAGACUGAGGAGAUGUUUACAGAGCUAUCCUCCUGGUACGAGGUCUCACUCUGCUCCAAAGUAAACACCGCCACCUGACUGAGUUCACUCUCUGACCUGCUCAAAGCCUCGGGGAUCCAGGUGGGGUCACGACGAGCCGCGGGUCCUCUUAGUCUGAACCGAGUCGCAGCAUCUGGAGCUCAUCCACUCGACACAGAGCUGAUGAUGCUGCAUGUUUUAUUCAAAGCUCUUAGUGUCAUAGCAUUUUAAUCUGCAAUCAACCCGCCUCUUCAGGGCUUACGUUACCUUCUCUGAGAUCCUGACGGCAGGGUUAAAAUAAGGACAGAGGUAUUUCUUUAAAAAUGAAAAAGCUCUGAUGUUGUUUUUAAUAAAUCCCCCGAAGAAAAGAACAAAGAAUUUCUGCCUCAAAACCCCAAAAAUGAAUCUUGUUUAUUUUUAACAACAGAAACACUUUAUUUUGAAGGCCUGAAUGUUGUUUUAAAGGCUGAAGCAGAAGUCAGGGUAUUACCUAAAGGCUGCUUUAAACAUGGGGCCUGAAUUAUACAUUAGUUGGCAUAAGCAUGCCGGGCUUGUAGGAGGUCAUAAUAGGUACUCAGUCCGCAACGCCGCUCACCACAGGGAAACAAUGUGAGCACGGGGAUUUAGCAUCUUCUUAUAGAGUGUAGGUAACAGUGUGGUUUAAACCGUGUAGCUACAGAGUGGAGCUGAACCCAACAGUAUGAAACAGACGUGGAUCAAAAGGUUUCUGCUUGUGCAGAGACGCAAUAACCAAAGACUGUGCAUGGAUUUAAGGCCGAAACGCAGAGACCAAACGAUGUUUCGCACCAGAGUUGUGAAAAUGACUGUGCUGGUAUCAAUAAACCACAGCGUUGCGUUCAACUGUACAGUCUUUAUUUCUUUAUUCCUCGCUUCGAGUACCAUGAAACUAAAACACAGAAAAAAUACAAAUCAAUUUCCAACAUAAACACAAUUUCACAAUUAAAUCAACAACAAUGAUAACAUUCGAAACAAUUUCUCCUUCCAACAUUAUCAAUCAAAUUGUUUCACACUCCCUACCUCUCUUCGCCCACCAAGGGUGCAAACUGGAUCCAAAAGCCUCUUGUACUCGACCCCAGACCAACUGCACCCGAUGAUAAGAACGAACAAACAAAAUAAAUGUACGUAAAUGCUGAGUUUAUUAUCACAGACAGCCGGAAAACUUUAGUUCAACUUUCCUUUAAGUACACAUACUUUUGAUCAUUUCCUCUCUCCACAACAACCCGCUCAUUUUCGUGUAACAAACUGGGGCGUGACAUCACUAUUUAACCCCUUUGUCGGUGUGACGACCCCAGACUUGAAUAACCAGCUUAGCGGGCCACUUAAAGACUGUAUCAGGCUGGACCUGGGUGUAUCCAUAGACUGUAUAAUAUAUGGAUGGAGUGAUAGUGGCGUCAGUAAGAUAGAGGAUUAGGGCAACAAGAAGAGACAAAAAAAAUUACCGGAGGCAGAUUUUUUUAAUUUCCAUUUCAAGAUUAAAGUUUAAAAAAGUUGAGAUUUUUCGUCUUUAUUCAUGUCGACUUUAAUCUCGAAAUGUUGAUUUAAUUCUCAAAUUUUUAAUUUUUUAAUCUCGAAAUUUCUACAUUAUUCACGACAUUUUGUAAUCUUGAUAUUUUGGCUUUAAUCUUGAAAUUUCAACUUCAUUGACAUAAUUUCAAUUUUUUAAUCUUGAAAUUUCAACUUCAUUGACAUAAUUUCGACUUUAAUCUCCUUUCUGUAAUUAUUUUUUUUCUCUUCAUGUGGCCCUAAUCCUCUUUUUCGUACGUCACAUAUUUAUUGGUGAAGCUGAAUUUUGACUUAACCUUACUUUAGGACCUACCAGAAUCUCAAAGCCGACUUAUAACCAGCUCCAGUGUACCCACCUCACAGUCAAGUCAGCUUUGCCUCUGAUUCACCGAUCCUGAAAUCUUUAUAUCUUCUUAACAAACACACCAGUACUAAUGUCUGCAGUUUUAACACUCCCACAUCAGCUUAAUUUCUCACUGUUUAACUUUUAUGACUGGUUUUAAAUACAGCUUUAAAAACAAGAGACUUUCUCCUCCAAACGCCCCGGUAACAAGGUGACCUGAUAUAUUCAAUGGAGGAGAGUGAGAAUCGGCGUUCCUCAGGGAGUUCGAUGAUAAAACCGUAGAUCAACUUGACCUGCUUCUGUCUCUGCUUUUCUACUCAUCACUAUUUGCUCCUGCUCUGCAAAGAAUUUCUCAGAAAAGGAGAUUUUAAUGAGUCUAAAGAGAAGGAUCAACAUUUGGAGUUGUUGUUGCCGCUUAUAUCGUGAUAUUCAAACCAACAUAAACAUCCCAACACAACUUCAUUCUCGGCUCAUUUUAGCAACACAGGGAAAUAAAAACCCAGACAGCAAACAGAUGCACUCAGGAGCGCAGAGUACACAAUCAAUACCUGUUAUUUACCUGUUAUGAGAUGCUUUUAGCAGUAGAGUACAUGAGGAUGAGAGAGGCAGAGCAGCGCAGCUCUGCACAUAAUAUACCUGAAAUUAUAGGCUGCAGAUGGAUGGCAAAUACGCGCUCCCAUCUCUUUCCUUCAGAUGGCUUACAGGGAUUUUAUCAACAGGGAAGAACUUCAAACAUGUGUGGAUGACAGAUAUUAAUCCAGAGCAGCAGGGACUCCACUUCCCCUCAACAUUCACAGUUUGAGCCGAGCAAAUUCAAAGCUCAAUAGCUGAAACGUGGCCGUAGUACUUAAGUACAUCCUAAACUGUCACUUUAUGGGAGAUUAGAAGACCCGGGCAUGGACUACAUUUACAUAGACUGAACUACACGAACGCUGCAACCCUUAAAAAACUGUAAAGGAUGUGAACUAUCAAAGUAGAAGUACCAGGUAACGGUGAUGUGAUGAAAAGCUGACAGGGGUGUGUCCGAUCUUAUUGACCGAGGUGGCCCAGCCCAACAGCUUACAUCAUUUACAUUUGGGGAAACUUAUUAUUAUAUUAUACUCACUCACCUUUCAUUAUGUCAAUUUGCAUGAAAAAAAAAUCCAGAUUUGUCUAAUAAUGGCGUCUGCAAAAACCCCUACAUCAGCAUUUUUUUUUACUUCUACUUAAAAAGUUGCAUUUCAACUGAUUUAAAGUUAAAGAGAGCUCAUGGGUGUUACUUUUUACACAGCUUUUAGCCACAUUAGCAUAUGUAAGCGAUUAUAACGUUGCAUGUUGUCAUAAUAAAGCUUAUAGCUUACAAUUUUGAGUCGUUAUUGAGGGUCUUUACCAUAGACUGUGUUUACUAUGGACAACUUGGCUCCGCCUUUCGUCAUUACACGCAUUUGAAGCCAAUUUGCUCUCGGUAUUUCCGGUGGGAGAGUCGCUGUGAUGACGCUCGCCUCAAAUAGCGUAUCCCCUGAAUGAGCUACGCAAUCUUGGUACGCCCAUAGGCUGUAUCAGGUGUCAAUCAUAGAAAACAUGAACCCCCUAAUAACUUUUUAAAAAGAGGACUUGAGCACAAACCAGUCUGACAGUAACUACAUGUCAACAUCACAACCAGGGGGGAGAAACAUUUAUAUUCUGUGUCAUUAAUUUCUAAAGUUUGUCCAUAGUUCCAUAGGGAUUGCUGGAGGAGGCGGGAUUUAUGACCUAUACUGCAGCCCGUCACCAGAGGGUGCUGUUCUAUAUACAGUCUGUGAUCUCUACAAAUUAAAAAGCUUCAAACUCUCUUAACAUUCGUGAUGCAAAAUGAAAGCGCUAAAACUGCAAUUCCUCUGGUGUCCACUAGAGGCUGUCUCAUAAGUACCCAGGACCACAUGGUCACCUCUCUCAGCCCCCAUCUCUUUAUAAUUUCAUGUAAUGUCAGAGGUUAAUAUGAAAUGAUCAGUUCAGAGAUAAAAAUAAACAUGAAGUGGAUAAUAACGGACUGAUGAAGUCAGAAGGUGGAGCAGGAAGGUUGGAUAAAAAAAGUAAAAGACCAACGAUGUCGAUCACAAACAGUCCGGUAAAGAAGAAGAAGGGAAAAGUACGAUAUUAUUCUGGUCUAAUCCAAUCCAAUCCACUCUUGAAUGGACAAGUUGGAACCAAUUUUCAUGAGGGAUUGAGAGGGUGCUUUCAAUUGAACUGAAUCGGAAGCUCAUCGGUUACAUAAGAGUGUAAUGUUUGCUAUUCACCUACUUCUAGUCAUGCAAAAAUCUGGAUAGAUGCGAUAAUAAGAACAAAAAGGACAAUAUUUAUAAUGGCAGUGGUAAAUAAGCCGUAAGAGAAACAGCGUGUGUGCAUGUAAGAAGGUGUUUCCACUGAAGAAGAGGAGGAGGAGUGUGUUUGUGUGUGUGUGUGUUUCAGAGAGAGAGAGAGUCUGACAGCCCGUCUCACAGCUGGGAUACCCGGUCUCAGGAGUGGGGCGAUGGAGCCACGGGGGCGCGGGUUAUUUUGGGAACCACAGAGGAGGAAGCGCUUAUUUUUCACCGCCCCUCCUCCCCCAGCCUCCCACCGUCUGACAGCUCCCUCUGUUCAUUUGCACAAUCUCAAUUAGCCUUCAGCGGGGAGAAUAAAGCAAGUGGUCAGACAAAAUCCUCUAAAGGGUCUAUUCAGCACAGGCCAGGGGAUUGUGUGUGUGUGUGUGAGUGUGUGUGUGUGGGGAUAUAAAUACAUCUGAGACUGAUGGUGUGUUUGAUGUUUGCACCGGGCUGCAGCUCCAAGGUUCAACCUCUAAAAAAGGUCUUUGAAACAGAUCUGUGAUGUCAAACACUUACUUUCAUAUAACAGGACAGGAUGUAUGUCUGUAUCUAUGAAAACACAUCCUGAAUGCACCUUUUGUUCCAGGAGGGACAUUCGCACCUUUACAAAUAAACGGAUCAAACGGACGCGUCAAGAUGGAAAAAGCAGAGUCCCCCUGUGGAUCUCACUCAUUAGGAGACGGGUUAAAGAUGCAGCUUCAUUAUCACAGCGGUGACAUAGAAAUGACAGAGUGAAUUGAGGUGAGACUCAUGGACAG